GACGAACGCUGGCGGCGUGCCUAAUACAUGCAAGUCGAGCGCAGGAAGCCGUCUGCACCCUUCGGGGGGACGACGGUGGAAUGAGCGGCGGACGGGUAAGUAACACGUAAAGAACCUGCCCAUAGGUCUGGGAUAACCACGAGAAAUCGGGGCUAAUACCGGAUGUGUCAUCGGACCGCAUGGUCCGCUGAUGAAAGGCGCUCCGGCGUCGCCCAUGGAUGGCUCUGCGGUGCAUUAGCUAGUUGGUGGGGUAACGGCCCACCAAGGCGACGAUGCAUAGCCGACCUGAGAGGGUGAUCGGCCACACUGGGACUGAGACACGGCCCAGACUCCUACGGGAGGCAGCAGUAGGGAAUCUUCCACAAUGGACGAAAGUCUGAUGGAGCAACGCCGCGUGAACGAUGAAGGCUUUCGGGUCGUAAAGUUCUGUUGUAAGGGAAGAACAAGUGCCGCAGGCAAUGGCGGCACCUUGACGGUACCUUGCGAGAAAGCCACGGCUAACUACGUGCCAGCCGCCGCUGUAA
rnacentral:rRNA from 1 species